rnacentral:rRNA from 1 species
CCUACGGGAGGCAGCAGUGAGGGAUAUUGGUCAAUGGGGGAAAGCCUGAACCAGCAACGCCGCGUGAGGGAAGACGGUUUUCGGAGUGUAAACCUGUGUCAGCAGGGAAGAAAAUGACGGUAGGAGAGUAUGAAGCAACGGCUAGCUACGUGACAGCAGCCGCGGUAAUACGUAGGGAGCAAGCGUUGUACGGAUUUACUGGGUGUAAUGGGUGCGUAGGCGGCCCGGCAAGUUAGGAGUGAAAUCCAUAGGCUUAACCUGUGAACUGCUUUUGAAACUGUAGGGCUUGAGUGAAGUAGAGGUAGGCGGAAUGCCUGGUGUAGCGGUGAAAUGCGUAGAGAUCAGGAGGAACACCAGUGGCGAAGGCGGCUUUCUGAGCUUUAACUGACGUUGAGGCACGAAAGCGUGGGUAGCAAACAGGAUUAGAUACCCGAGUAGUC